rnacentral:ncRNA from 2 species
AGUAAGGAUAGAGGCGCAAAGACCAUUAUUACAUAAUAUGAGGAUGAUGAGAUCCUAAGAUUAUUAUGGAAAGGGGAAUUUGCCGAAGCUUUAAGACUCUCACUCAUCUUGAAGCUGGUUCUGACGUUGAAUAAAUGCAGGACUGUCAUAUAGGAAACUAUAUGGAGGGCUAUCUUACGC